rnacentral:rRNA from 1 species
GACGAACGCUGGCGGCGUGCCUAAUACAUGCAAGUAGGACGCAGUUGCGAACGGGUGAGUAACGCGUAGGUAACUGACUAUUAGUGGGGGAUAACUAUUGGAAACGAUAGCUAAUACCGCAUACUAGUAGAUGGACCUGCGGUGUAUUAGCGAGUAGGUAGGGUCAUGGCAUACCUAGGGGACGAUACAUAGCCGACCUGAGAGGGGGAUCGGCCACCCUGGGAAUGAGACACGGCCCAGGCGCCCUGGGGAAGCAGCAGUAGGGAAGCGUCGGCAAUGGGGGGAAACUUGACCGCGAAACGCCGAGUGAUUGAAGAAGGUUGUCGGAUGGUAAAUCUCUGUUGUUAAGGAAGCGGUACUUAACCAGAAAGGGACGGCUAACUACGUGCCAGCAGCCGCGGUAAUUC